rnacentral:rRNA from 1 species
CCUACGGGAGGCAGCAGUGAGGAAUAUUGGUCAAUGGACGAGAGUCUGAACCAGCCAAGUAGCGUGAAGGAUGACUGCCCUAUGGGUUGUAAACUUCUUUUAUAUGGGAAUAAAAUGUUCCACGUGUGGGAUUUUGUAUGUACCAUAUGAAUAAGGAUCGGCUAACUCCGUGCCAGCAGCCGCGGUAAUACGGAGGAUCCGAGCGUUAUCCGGAUUUAUUGGGUUUAAAGGGAGCGUAGGUGGAUUGUUAAGUCAGUUGUGAAAGUUUGCGGCUCAACCGUAAAAUUGCAGUUGAAACUGGCAGUCUUGAGUACAGUAGAGGUGGGCGGAAUUCGUGGUGUAGCGGUGAAAUGCUUAGAUAUCACGAAGAACUCCGAUUGCGAAGGCAGUUCACUGGACUGCAACUGACACUGAGGCUCGAAGGUGUGGGUAUCAAACAGGAUUAGAUACCCCUGUAGUC